rnacentral:lncRNA from 1 species
GAUCAGUGGAGUAACGGAGCUUUCGAAAUUUCGAACCCAUUAUUUUUAGUGAUUUUCCAUUUUUUUACGGGGGUUUGAGAAACGUCAUCGGAUUGGGUGAAAAUGAGAUUCUUCGAGCGUGAUUCAUAGCUCGUCGAAAUGUAUACCAACGGGAGGGAAUGCGAGGAAACACAGAAAUGUUAAAAACUCUUUCACCCUGAGUUUUGUACGAAGCGCACGUGCGGUCGGCGUUCCGGGGCAUGUGUUGCCGGCGAAUCGUGCCGGCGUCGACGCUUUUCGCGAUAGAAAGAAUUGAAGACGAAAAGCUUCGGUUGGGCUCGAGUAAAAAUAAGCUUGGAGGGAAUUAACGCUUUCGGAAGAGUCCGAUACUUUUGGAUAAGCUAGUACGACUUCGACUCGCGGCUGACAUCACCAACGUAUCGUAAGCGUGACGCAAUUCUUCCCCGGCGCGCUACGGUGUCGCCCCCUGCGUCGUUUAACGGCCAACUCUAAAAAGAAGCUCUCGCCACGCCGCCCGCACCUCUUUCGUAUUUGUGUGCACCCGUACGACGCGCGUCAUAUGCAUACGCGUCCCAUCGCUCGUCGUAUGCCUCACAAUCAAUGGACUCGAAAGCCCCUCGCGCUCGAAACGACGCUUACUUUUUUGGGGAGCCCUGGAACGAGUGUUCACGGAAUUUCCCAUCAAUACGCUUUCCUUAUGUCCUCGUUUAAUCCCCUCCAACUUACCUGGAGGUUCUGCCAUAUCGCGUAGUGACAGAAUGGAAUUUUUCUUGACCGAUUAAACUCGAUAUUGUACUUAUAACUGUAAAACGUUAACUGGGAUUUUCACGGACGGGUACGCGAAGGCCUUUUUCUUGAGGACGAACACAAUGAAACUUUUCAAAAUGUGCAAACUUCCAACGGUUUUAUGGAUCGUCCCAUAGUAACGAGCUUCUAAAAUCCUCACUCAUUGUCCGCUGAACAAUCGAUCGAAAGUCGAAUCGAGAAAGACACGAGCUCGUGUACCUGGGUCGUCCCUUCGUUAGAUUCUGUAUACUGAUGUGUACCAAUAAAAAAGGAUAAUGGACUAGUAACUCAAUGUUUGGCGAAUAGAUUGAGGUUAUAGCAGCUAUGCCAUUGUGAUAUUUUGUGUAGAAUUUUAACACGUGAAAUUAAGUGCGACGAUCGAACAUAAAAAAUAACUAUUGACGCCAUUUUUCAUGAAAUGUUUGCACGUAUAUCUUGGCGAUCGUCAUCACUAAACAUAACCCUGAGACUACAUCAUUUCAACACAUUUAUGAUACCCUCAUAUUUCUGUGGCUGAAUUAGACUAGCAUUUUCCGAACCAAGCAUUUAUCGUUAUUCGGGUAUCGAAAUUCAUCGGAAUAUUCUUUUUCGUUGAAGUUGAUUUUCCACGGGCGGUGAGCGACGCGGAGACGAUCGGCUGUUUGAAAUUUCGAAAGUUUUUUUCGGACGUUCAACGAUGAAAGGAAAGCUGCGUCGGCCCACGCGGAAUCGCAGUAAAAAAAAAACCCAAAGUUUUUUUUUCUUGUUGGACGAAUAUUGAAUGUUCUCGGAAAUUUAGUUUUCACGUAAGAACGGAGUCAAAAAUGUAUCUCGAUGUGGUUCAAGUUCACAACGGAAUGUCGACUUUUUCGUUAAAUUUUCGUAUUUUUAUUCGAGCCUCCGAACACCAUCAGCCUUUGUCCGGAUUCCAGGAAAAAACUUGCAUUCGAAUUCAGUUAAUUUCGACUCGAUAAUUGGAAUCGUAAUAAAAAUCGUUGCAGGAAUAUUUCGAGAGCUGUUCCAAAGUGCCAACAAAAUAUGCGAUGUGUAUACAUUUAGUGAUGGGAUCGAACAACUUCUGAGAUUACUAACCUCCCACCUGUCGCAUGACCGACAUUUCGCUCGAAAAUGAUGGGAAAUAAAAGGCAAAAGAGGUUAAGGGUAUCUUAUCUCGAAUUGGCGAAGAUCGUAUAAACCUUGAAUUUAGCAGCGGAUGCUAACUAAUGUAUUCUGUACGAGUGUUUACCGAAGCGAAAUAUAUUGACCUUAUCGUUCCCGAUGUCAGCGCUACUAAUACGGAGAAUCGCGGUGAGCGAUCAGUCAACUAUCUCGCACGAGAAAAUCAGAGCCGAAACCCAACUUUUUCUCGAGUUUCUCUCGUGAUGACACAUCUAGCAAGUUUUAUUAGUGAAACACUAUUUUUCCAGCACACGAGCGAGCCUAGUGCGAUUCUUUGGUACUGAAAUAAAAUUGCACCACGUGGUUAGCCAUCGAAAUCCAUAUGCAUAUGUAUUUGUGGCUGAUUUGAAGUGCAAACAAAACCGCCGUCAGAGUCGCCACCGGCAGUACGAAUCGCCGAUUGCUUUUUAUAUACAAUGUCAAGAAAGUCCGCUGCUAUGAAUUUCAACAGAAUGUUGAAAACUGGUUAGUAAAGAGGAAAAUUAGCUUGUACGAACUUCAAGUGGAAUCGGCCUCAACAUGAGCGACAAAAAUUACAAAUGUGACAAUGUAUAAUUUCGUUUGCAACACGGUUACUAUUGUUGUUCGGAGAACCCAUCCAAUGGAAAUAAAAAUGAAAGGAACGUGUUGAAUCAACAGGGCACCUGAA